UACGAAGGGGGCUAGCGUUGCUCGGAAUUACUGGGCGUAAAGGGCGCGUAGGCGGCACGGCAAGUCAGGAGUGAAAGCCCGGGGCUCAACCCCGGAAUGUCUUUUGAAACUGCCGAGCUAGAGUGCGGAAGAGGCAACUGGAAUUCCCAGUGUAGCGGUGAAAUGCGUAGAUAUUGGGAAGAACACCUGAGGCGAAGGCGGGUUGCUGGGCCGACACUGACGCUGAUGCGCGAAAGCCAGGGGAGCGAACGGG
rnacentral:rRNA from 1 species